rnacentral:rRNA from 1 species
UACGUAGGGGGCAAGCGUUGUCCGGAUUUACUGGGUGUAAAGGGCGCGUAGGCGGACUUGUAAGUCAGAGGUGAAAUCCUGCAGCUUAACUGCAGAACUGCCUUUGAUACUGCAAGCCUUGAGUUCGAAAGAGAGAGAUGGAAAUUCCAGGUGUAGUAGUGAAAUACGUAGAUAUCUGGAAGAACACCAGUGGCGAAGGCGAUCUCUGGUUCGUAACUGACGCUGAGGCGCGAAAGCGUGGGUAGCAAACAGG